rnacentral:rRNA from 1 species
UACGUAGGCAGCGAGCGUUGUCCGGAAUCACUGGGCGUAAAGGGCGCGUAGGCGGCGCGGGUAGUCAUCGGUGAAAGUUCAGGGCUCAACUCUGAAUCGGCCGGUGAUACUCCCGUGCUCGAGCACUGUAGAGGCAGGUGGAAUUCCGGGUGUAGCGGUGGAAUGCGUAGAGAUCCGGAAGAACACCGGUGGCGAAGGCGGCCUGCUGGGCAGUAGCUGACGCUGAUGCGCGACAGCGUGGGGAGCAAACAGG